rnacentral:rRNA from 1 species
CAGUAGCCGCGGGAAUACGUAGGUGGCAAGCGUUGCCCGGAAUUAUUGGGCGUAAAGGGCUCGCAGGCGGUUUCUUAAGUCUGAUGUGAAAGCCCCCGGCUCAACCGGGGAGGGUCAUUGGAAACUGGGAAACUUGAGUGCAGAAGAGGAGAGUGGAAUUCCACGUGUAGCGGUGAAAUGCGUAGAGAUGUGGAGGAACACCAGUGGCGAAGGCGACUCUCUGGUCUGUAACUGACGCUGAGGAGCGAAAGCGUGGGGAGCGAACAGGAUUAGAUACCCGAGUAGUCCCUGUCUCUUAUAA